UACAGAGGUCCCGAGCGUUGUUCGGAUUCAUUGGGCGUAAAGGGUGCGUAGGUGGCGCGGUAAGUCGGGUGUGAAAUUUCGGAGCUUAACUCCGAAACUGCAUUCGAUACUGCCGUGCUUGAGGACUGGAGAGGAGACUGGAAUUUACGGUGUAGCAGUGAAAUGCGUAGAGAUCGUAAGGAAGACCAGUGGCGAAGGCGGGUCUCUGGACAGUUCCUGACACUGAGGCACGAAGGCCAGGGGAGCAAACGGG
rnacentral:rRNA from 1 species